ACAUUUCUCCGCAGCUGUGAGCUUGAGCUGGCUGUCAGACGGUGAUCCGUAACCUGGACGCACAUUCAGGAAGUCGUAGUAGAUUUGAGUUCAGGGGCGUAAAGACGCGCCGCCCAGAUUUACACCGUGAUAAAGGUCGGCAGAGGAGCUUGAGGUGCCGCGAGACACUGUCCCUGAGGCUCGGAGCUCUGAUGGAGAAGAUGGGAACAUUACAGAUACUGAGACAUAAAUUUGUCUGUGUGUAAAGGAAAUGAGAACAAAUGAUAAGCUGUGUUUGAUUCUGACCAGAGGUUAAAAGAGGUAGACAGACAAAAUGAGAUUGAGAAAGGAGUAACAUCUCCUGUGAGUUUGGGCAGAUGAUAAACGGCAUUAUUAUUAGAAGCAUUUUGGGCUUUGCAUCAGAGAGGCAACAGCAUCCCACUUGUGCGAGGUGAAGCAGGGUGAAAUGAUGGGACUUGGCUUGAAACUGGAGAGCUCCACCUGACAGAUGUUGACUCAUCUGUUACAUCAUCACUGCCCACUCCUGACCGGUUGGAUACCUGGUCCAUCUGCUCUGCUGUGCUG